GGGACUUCUUUUCUCAAGACUGUCCAUCUGCCUUGCACUCAGAGGCUAAUCAAGGCAUUUGAGAAGCAGAAGAAGAAGAGGUAGAGAGAGAGCCAGGGACACAGCACAACCAGCAAAUGAAACCUUGCACACACAUCACAGAGUAAAGAGGAAGAGUGUGCAUUUGACUCCUAGGAGGGGCUUGGUUAGAAGGAGUCCAUCAGCAAGAAGCACUGCUCUCAAAUGCUUCCUGAUGGAAAGUAAAUCUGGGAAAACACCAGGGCCAGAAAUUGGCAGGGAAGACUUGGACAGAAGAAGAAUUUGGAGAGAAAGAAGACUGUGCACUGUGACAGCUACUCAAAGAUGAGAUCACCUCCAUGGGAGUCUGGGAGUCCAGCAGAGAAGUUCCAGCACAUUGUUGAAUGAAAAACAAAACAAAACGAAACAAAACAAGAACAGAUGCAUUGAAAAGAAUUUCGCUUUACCCACAUAUAUCGCUCUUUGCACAGCUCAGUUCCAAGAAACACACCCUCAGCCCGAGAUUUCCCCAUAAGGGAACGUGAGAGUGUAGCUGUGAGGGAUACCAGGCAGGAGGCCCACUGAUUUCUCAUCCCUCCAAGAAUACUCAGAUGAUCUGAAUGGCUGAGUGGUUAGGAGAGGCUGGGAAGCAGGGUCAGGAGCCGUGGACUCCACCAAGUGCUCCAGCAGGAAGCUCACCAUGAACCACUCAGAGCACCUCAACUGUGCAACCCACUGGCCCACAGGCACUCUAAAUGAUGCUCAGGCCUCACUCCCCCCCCCCAACCCUACCAGACCAGCUCCCUCAGCACAUACCUGCAGACAGCAACAGAGAGCAUAAACAUCUUGUAUGGAGAGCAGGCUUUAGUACAAAAGAUGAGAAUACUCCAACUUGAGACUUUUGGGGCACCACUAUAAAGAAAAUAAACAGGAGGCUCUCAGAACCCAGCUUGUGU